GACAAACGCUGGCGGCGUGCCUAAUACAUGCAAGUAGAACGCACAGUUUAUACCGUAGCUUGCUACACCAUAAACUGUGAGUUGCGAACGGGUGAGUAACGCGUAGGUAACCUGCCUGGUAGCGGGGGAUAACUAUUGGAAACGAUAGCUAAUACCGCAUAAUAUUGAUUAUUGCAUGAUAAUUGAUUGAAAGAUGCUAUUGCAUCACUACCAGAUGGACCUGCGUUGUAUUAGCUAGUAGGUGAGGUAACGGCUCACCUAGGCGACGAUACAUAGCCGACCUGAGAGGGUGAUCGGCCACACUGGGACUGAGACACGGCCCAGACUCCUACGGGAGGCAGCAGUAGGGAAUCUUCGGCAAGGGACGAAAGUCUGACCGAGCAACGCCGCGUGAGUGAAGAAGGUUUUCGGAUCGUAAAGCUCUGUUGUAAGAGAAGAACGGGUGUGAGAGUGGAAAGUUCACACUGUGACGGUAUCUGACCAGAAAGGGACGGCUAACUACGUG
rnacentral:rRNA from 1 species